GGUCAUCAAGCUCCCUGAGCCUCUGUCGGGAAAAUCAGCCCCUCUACCUUCCCUGGCUCCUCUCCUCUGUUUGCUCUCACAGAAGACGGCUCACAGAAAGUGGAAUUGCCUGUUGCUGUUGCCAGUGCCCUGGGCUGCCUCCUCCCAGAAAUGGAAGCUGAAGAAACACUGUUGGCUGUGCCACAAAGUCAUGGUAACGAAGUCAAGAUUCUCUGGGACCACCAUGCUGAUUUCUCCACUCACUGAGCUGUCACAUAGGUACCGUGGAAAACAGAGUGAAAAGAGUUUGGAAGAUUAAUUCAAAGAAGGCGUUAGAACAUUAGAAUCGUAUAAGGAAAAAGACAAAAGAAGGCUCAAAAAUCUGGCCUACUAUCGAUGGUCAGCACCACCAAGAACACACUUGCCAGUUCAGACUGCUUUGUGAUUGAAACGGCUGACCCCUCCACCCUACCUCUUGCUUCGCCUUACUCGGGAAGGGACCGUGAAGGUACUCGCAAGCUUUGAUUGUGACAGCUGGCGUUAGUCUUCGCCUUCUUGUCCCCAUGCUGGUUGCCUCGCAGCUACAGGACAACUGCUGGAGCUUCUGCCGUCUCUUCUGUACAUACGAACAAACAGAGGGAGACCGACAAGCUCUGCAGACU